GACGAACGCUGGCGGCGUGCCUAAUACAUGCAAGUCGAACGAAGUUAUGAAGGAGCUUGCUCCGGAAUAACUUAGUGGCGGACGGGUGAGUAACACGUGGGCAACCUGCCUGCAAGCUGGGGAUAACUAGCGGAAACGUUAGCUAAUACCGAAUGGUCAGGGAGAGGGCAUCCUUUCCUUGGGAAAGACGGAGCAAUCUGUCGCUUGCAGAUGGGCCUGCGGUGCAUUAGCUAGUUGGUGGGGUAAUGGCUCACCAAGGCGACGAUGCAUAGCCGACCUGAGAGGGUGAACGGCCACACUGGGACUGAGACACGGCCCAGACUCCUACGGGAGGCAGCAGUAGGGAAUCUUCGGCAAUGGACGAAAGUCUGACCGAGCAACGCCGCGUGAGUGAUGAAGGUUUUCGGAUCGUAAAGCUCUGUUGCCAGGGAAGAACGCUUGGGAGAGUAACUGCUCCUAAGGUGACGGUACCUGAGAAGAAAGCCCCGGCUAACUACGUGC
rnacentral:rRNA from 1 species